rnacentral:rRNA from 1 species
AUGCGAAUGCUUAUCAAGGAGGUUCUUAGGUUACAUCCCCCCAACCCUAUGCUUGUCCCCCGUGAGUCGAGGGAGGACUGUGAAAUCAUGGGUUAUCACAUUCUCAAAGGCACAAAGAUACAUGUUAAUGCAUUUGCAAUUUCUCGGGAUCCAAGAUAUUGGUACAACCCAGAAGCGUUUAACCCAGAGAGGUUUGAGAAUAGCAAUGUUGAUUUUAAAGGAACAAAUUUUGAGUUCACCCCCUUCGGGGCAGGUCGUCGACAGUGUCCUGCGAUUCUGUUUGGCACGUCUUCCGUGGAGAUUGCAUUGGCGAAUCUUCUCUACCACUUUGAAUGGGUGCUUCCUGAUGGAGAGAAUUCACAUUUGUUGGACAUGUCCGAGACUUUUGGGAUGGGAGUAAGGAAAAAGGUAGAGCUGCAUUUGAGAGCUACUCCGUAUGUAUACUCUGGUUAUAUAUAG